CUCUGUCUCUAGUGUCUCUCUAGUCUGUCUCUCUCACUCUCUCUGUGUGUGUUGGGGUGCUGGUUGCUGCUGUGGGAGGCUCGCUGCCUCCCUAGUCUCUCUCUCUCUCUGUGUGUUGGGGCGCUGGUUGCUGCUGUGGGAGGCUCACUGCCUCCUAAGUUUCUAUUUGUCCAGGGAGGGACUCCUCACUAAAGGAGGAAGCAGGAAGGAACAGUGGGAGGUUUCUAUUUGUCCAGGGAGGGACUCCUCACUAAAGGAGGAAGGAACAGUGGUAGGUUUCUAUUUGUCCAGGGAGGGACUCCUCACUAAAGGAGUAAGGAACAGUGGUAGGUUUCUAUUUGUCCAGGGAGGGACUCCUCACUAAAGGAGGAAGGAACAGUGGGAGGUUUCUAUUUGUCCAGGGAGGGACUCCUCACUAAAGGAGGAAGCAGGAAGGAACAGUGGGAGGUUUCUAUUUGUCCAGGGAGGGACUCCUCACUAAAGGAGGAAGCAGGAAGGAACAGUGGUAGGUUUAUAUUUGUCCAGGGAGGGACUCCUCACUAAAGGAGGAAGCAGGAAGGAACAGUGGUAGGUUUCUAUUUGUCCAGGGAGGGACUCCUCACUAAAGCAGGAAGGAACAGUGGUAGGUUUCUAUUUGUCCAGGGAGGGACUCCUCACUAAAGGAUGAAGGAACAGUGGGAGGUUUCUAUUUGUCCAGGGGGGGACUCCUCACUAAAGCAGGAAGGAACAGUGGUAGGUUUCUAUUUGUCCAGGGAGGGACUCCUCACUAAAGGAGGAAGCAGGAAGGAACAGUGGUAGGUUUCUAUUUGUCCAGGGAGGGACUCCUCACUAAAGGAGGAAGGAACAGUGGGAGGUUUCUAUUUGUCCAGGGAGGGACUCCUCACUAAAGGAGGAAGCAGGAAGGAACAGUGGGAGGUUUCUAUUUGUCCAGGGAGGGACUCCUCACUAAAGGAGGAAGCAGGAAGGAACAGUGGUAGGUUUAUAUUUGUCCAGGGAGGGACUCCUCACUAAAGGAGGAAGCAGGAAGGAACAGUGGUAGGUUUCUAUUUGUCCAGGGAGGGACUCCUCACUAAAGCAGGAAGGAACAGUGGUAGGUUUCUAUUUGUCCAGGGAGGGACUCCUCACUAAAGGAUGAAGGAACAGUGGGAGGUUUCUAUUUGUCCAGGGGGGGACUCCUCACUAAAGCAGGAAGGAACAGUGGUAGGUUUCUAUUUGUCCAGGGAGGGACUCCUCACUAAAGGAGGAAGCAGGAAGGAACAGUGGUAGGUUUCUAUUUGUCCAGGGAGGGACUCCUCACUAAAGGAGGAAGGAACAGUGGUAGGUUUCUAUUUGUCCAGGGAGGGACUCCUCACUAAAGGAGGAAGGAACAGUGGGAGGUUUCUAUUUGUCCAGGGAGGGACUCCUCACUAAAGCAGGAAGGAACAGUGGUAGGUUUAUAUUUGUCCAGGGAGGGACUCCUCACUAAAGGAGGAAGGAACAGUGGUAGGUUUCUAUUUGUCCAGGGAGGGACUCCUCACUAAAGGAGGAAGGAACAGUGGGAGGUUUCUAUUUGUCCAGGGAGGGACUCCUCACUAAAGCAGGAAGGAACAGUGGGAGGUUUCUAUUUGUCCAGGGAGGGACUCCUCACUAGAGGAGGAAGGAACAGUGGGAGGUUUCUAUUUGUCCAGGGAGGGACUCCUCACUAAAGCAGGAAGGAACAGUGGGAGGUUUCUAUUUGUCCAGGGAGGGACUCCUCACUAAAGGAGGAAGGAACAGUGGUAGGCUUCUAUUUGUCCAGGGAGGGACUCCUCACUAAAGGAGGAAGCAGGAAGGAACAGUGGGAGGUUUCUAUUUGUCCAGGGAGGGACUCCUCACUAAAGGAGGAAGGAACAGUGGUAGGUUUCUAUUUGUCCAGGGAGGGACUCCUCACUAAAGGAGGAAGCAGGAAGGAACAGUGGGAGGUUUCUAUUUGUCCAGGGAGGGACUCCUCACUAAAGGAUGAAGCAGGAAGGAACAGUGGUAGGCUUCUAUUUGUCCAAGGAGGGACUCCUCACUAAAGGAGGAAGGAACAGUGGUAGGUUUCUAUUUGUCCAGGGAGGGACUCCUCACUAAAGGAGGAAGCAGGAAGGAACAGUGGUAGGCUUCUAUUUGUCCAGGGAGGGACUCCUCACUAAAGGAGGAAGCAGGAAGGAACAGUGGUAGGCUUCUAUUUGUCCAGGGAGGGACUCCUCACUAAAGGAGGAAGCAGGAAGGAACAGUGGUAGGCUUAUAUUUGUCCAGGGAGGGACUCCUCACUAAAGGAGGAAGCAGGAAGGAACAGUGGUAGGCUUCUAUUUGUCCAGGGAGGGACUCCUCACUAAAGGAGGAAGCAGGAAGGAACAGUGGUAGGCUUCUAUUUGUCCAGGGAGGGACUCCUCACUAAAGGAGGAAGCAGGAAGGAACAGUGGGAGGUUUCUAUUUGUCCAGGGAGGGACUCCUCACUAAAGGAGGAAGCAGGAAGGAACAGUGGUAGGUUUCUAUUUGUCCAGGGAGGGACUCCUCACUAAAGGAGGAAGGAACAGUGGUAGGUUUCUAUUUGUCCAGGGAGGGACUCCUCACUAAAGGAGGAAGGAACAGUGGGAGGUUUCUAUUUGUCCAGGGAGGGACUCCUCACUAAAGGAGGAAGCAGGAAGGAACAGUGGUAGGUUUCUAUUUGUCCAGGGAGGGACUCCUCACUAAAGGAGGAAGGAACAGUGGGAGGUUUCUAUUUGUCCAGGGAGGGACUCCUCACUAAAGGAGGAAGCAGGAAGGAACAGUGGUAGGUUUCUAUUUGUCCAGGGAGGGACUCCUCACUAAAGGAGGAAGCAGGAAGGAACAGUGUGAGGUUUCUAUUUGUCCAGGGAGGGACUCCUCACUAAAGGAGGAAGCAGGAAGGAACAGUGGGAGGUUUCUAUUUGUCCAGGGAGGGACUCCUCACUAAAGCAGGAAGGAACAGUGGGAGGUUUCUAUUUGUCCAGGGAGGGACUCCUCACUAAAGGAGGAAGGAACAGUGGUAGGCUUCUAUUUGUCCAGGGAGGGACUCUUCACUAAAGGAGGAAGCAGGAAGGAACAGUGGGAGGUUUCUAUUUGUCCAGGGAGGGACUCCUCACUAAAGGAGGAAGGAACAGUGGGAGGUUUCUAUUUGUCCAGGGAGGGACUCCUCACUAAAGGAGGAAGGAACAGUGGGAGGUUUCUAUUUGUCCAGGGAGGGACUCCUCACUAAAGCAGGAAGGAACAGUGGGAGGUUUCUAUUUGUCCAGGGAGGGACUCCUCACUAAAGGAGGAAGGAACAGUGGUAGGCUUCUAUUUGUCCAGGGAGGGACUCCUCACUAAAGGAGGAAGCAGGAAGGAACAGUGGGAGGUUUCUAUUUGUCCAGGGAGGGACUCCUCACUAAAGGAGGAAGGAACAGUGGUAGGUUUCUAUUUGUCCAGGGAGGGACUCCUCACUAAAGGAGGAAGCAGGAAGGAACAGUGGGAGGUUUCUAUUUGUCCAGGGAGGGACUCCUCACUAAAGGAUGAAGCAGGAAGGAACAGUGGUAGGCUUCUAUUUGUCCAAGGAGGGACUCCUCACUAAAGGAGGAAGGAACAGUGGUAGGUUUCUAUUUGUCCAGGGAGGGACUCCUCACUAAAGGAGGAAGCAGGAAGGAACAGUGGUAGGCUUCUAUUUGUCCAGGGAGGGACUCCUCACUAAAGGAGGAAGCAGGAAGGAACAGUGGUAGGCUUCUAUUUGUCCAGGGAGGGACUACUCACUAAAGGAGGAAGCAGGAAGGAACAGUGGUAGGCUUAUAUUUGUCCAGGGAGGGACUCCUCACUAAAGGAGGAAGCAGGAAGGAACAGUGGUAGGCUUCUAUUUGUCCAGGGAGGGACUCCUCACUAAAGGAGGAAGCAGGAAGGAACAGUGGUAGGCUUCUAUUUGUCCAGGGAGGGACUCCUCACUAAAGGAGGAAGCAGGAAGGAACAGUGGGAGGUUUCUAUUUGUCCAGGGAGGGACUCCUCACUAAAGGAGGAAGCAGGAAGGAACAGUGGUAGGUUUCUAUUUGUCCAGGGAGGGACUCCUCACUAAAGGAGGAAGGAACAGUGGUAGGUUUCUAUUUGUCCAGGGAGGGACUCCUCACUAAAGGAGGAAGGAACAGUGGGAGGUUUCUAUUUGUCCAGGGAGGGACUCCUCACUAAAGGAGGAAGCAGGAAGGAACAGUGGUAGGUUUCUAUUUGUCCAGGGAGGGACUCCUCACUAAAGGAGGAAGGAACAGUGGGAGGUUUCUAUUUGUCCAGGGAGGGACUCCUCACUAAAGGAGGAAGCAGGAAGGAACAGUGGUAGGUUUCUAUUUGUCCAGGGAGGGACUCCUCACUAAAGGAGGAAGCAGGAAGGAACAGUGGGAGGUUUCUAUUUGUCCAGGGAGGGACUCCUCACUAAAGGAGGAAGCAGGAAGGAACAGUGGUAGGUUUCUAUUUGUCCAGGGAGGGACUCCUCACUAAAGGAGGAAGGAACAGUGGUAGGUUUCUAUUUGUCCAGGGAGGGACUCCUCACUAAAGGAAGAAGGAACAGUGGGAGGUUUCUAUUUGUCCAGGGAGGGACUCCUCACUAAAGGAGGAAGCAGGAAGGAACAGUGGGAGGUUUCUAUUUGUCCAGGGAGGGACUCCUCACUAAAGGAGGAAGGAACAGUGGUAGGUUUCUAUUUGUCCAGGGAGGGACUCCUCACUAAAGGAGGAAGCAGGAAGGAACAGUGGUAGGCUUCUAUUUGUCCAGGGAGGGACUCCUCACUAAAGGAGGAAGCAGGAAGGAACAGUGGUAGGCUUCUAUUUGUCCAGGGAGGGACUCCUCACUAAAGGAGGAAGCAGGAAGGAACAGUGGUAGGCUUAUAUUUGUCCAGGGAGGGACUCCUCACUAAAGGAGGAAGCAGGAAGGAACAGUGGUAGGCUUCUAUUUGUCCAGGGAGGGACUCCUCACUAAAGGAGGAAGCAGGAAGGAACAGUGGGAGGUUUCUAUUUGUCCAGGGAGGGACUCCUCACUAAAGGAGGAAGCAGGAAGGAACAGUGGUAGGUUUCUAUUUGUCCAGGGAGGGACUCCUCACUAAAGGAGGAAGGAACAGUGGUAGGUUUCUAUUUGUCCAGGGAGGGACUCCUCACUAAAGGAGGAAGGAACAGUGGGAGGUUUCUAUUUGUCCAGGGAGGGACUCCUCACUAAAGGAGGAAGCAGGAAGGAACAGUGGUAGGUUUCUAUUUGUCCAGGGAGGGACUCCUCACUAAAGGAGGAAGGAACAGUGGGAGGUUUCUAUUUGUCCAGGGAGGGACUCCUCACUAAAGGAGGAAGCAGGAAGGAACAGUGGUAGGUUUCUAUUUGUCCAGGGAGGGACUCCUCACUAAAGGAGGAAGCAGGAAGGAACAGUGGGAGGUUUCUAUUUGUCCAGGGAGGGACUCCUCACUAAAGGAGGAAGCAGGAAGGAACAGUGGUAGGUUUCUAUUUGUCCAGGGAGGGACUCCUCACUAAAGGAGGAAGGAACAGUGGUAGGUUUCUAUUUGUCCAGGGAGGGACUCCUCACUAAAGGAAGAAGGAACAGUGGGAGGUUUCUAUUUGUCCAGGGAGGGACUCCUCACUAAAGCAGGAAGGAACAGUGGUAGGCUUCUAUUUGGUCUUCUUCGUAGACGGCUGCUCUUGGUUAACCUCAACCUAAGCCCCAAGAGAAAAUUAUUCAAAUUGUAUUUCCAGUCAUUUUCUGUGGACAUAUGGAUUCAAUCUAUAUCACGUUGUCAUUAUAAACAGUAGUGUUACAGUACGUUACUCCCUGAAUGAAUGAAUCAAGAGGGACAUUUUUCUCUUCCUACUCCACUAGAGCUAUGAAUAAUCUCCACCAAUCAUAGCCGCUUUGCUUUGACUCUGCCAUACACACUCAACCUUGUCAGCACAGUUCAGUAGACCCCAGUAAUACAGUCGGGGGGGGGGGUCACGCGACACCCAACAAGGUCAUGGAUGUAAAGCAAUUGGCAGGCGUAGGUCAUAGAGGUCACGGAGGCGCCCUGAACGCAUUUGGCGCCUUGAAGUCACGUUGUCUUCAUCCAUCAGAUACACAUGCUGGAAUGUGUCUUCUUUAACUAUAUAUAAUUGUGUGUGUGCUUCACUAUAAUUAGCGCGUGCAUAGGUCCUGGACUGGUCCUGUAAUGUAACAUGACUGUAGUCUGACUCCACGCUGCUGAAGGACACUGCUGGCUGCACUAACAUGUAUAU